rnacentral:rRNA from 1 species
GAUGAACGCUGACAGAAUGCUUAACACAUGCAAGUCGAUGGGGAAGUGGUGCUUGCACCCUGGCAACCAUGGCGGACGGGUGAGUAACGCGUAAGGGACUUACCUGCAGGACUGGGAUAACAGGGGGAAACUCCUGACAAGACCGGAUCAUGUCAUGGCUCUGCAUGGCUUUAUGAUGCAAGGAGACGCCUGCGGAGAGCCUUGCGUCCUAUUAGCUAGUUGGUGAGGUAAUGGCUCACCAAGGCGAAGAUAGGUAGCCGGCCUGAGAGGGUGGACGGCCAAGAGGGGAAUGAGAGGCGGCAGUUAGGCAUACGGGAGGCAGGAGUGGAGAAUAUUGGACCAAGGGGGCAUGAGUGAUCCAGCAAUUCGGUGUGCACGAAGAAGGUUUUCGGAAAGAAAAGGGCUUUCAGAAGGGAAGGAGUAAGUGACGGUACCAGCAGAAGAAGCGACGGCUAACUACGUG